rnacentral:tRNA from 1 species
GGAGAGAUGGCUGAGUGGUCGAAAGCGACAGUUUGCUAAACUGUUGAACUGGGAAACCGGUUCCGCGGGUUCGAAUCCCGCUCUCUCCG